rnacentral:rRNA from 1 species
GUGAGGAAUAUUGGACAAUGGGUGAGAGCCUGAUCCAGCCAUCCCGCGUGAAGGACGACGGCCCUAUGGGUUGUAAACUUCUUUUGUAUAGGGAUAAACCUACUCUCGUGAGAGUAGCUGAAGGUACUAUACGAAUAAGCACCGGCUAACUCCGUGCCAGCAGCCGCGGUAAUACGGAGGGUGCAAGCGUUAUCCGGAUUUAUUGGGUUUAAAGGGUCCGUAGGCGGAUCUGUAAGUCAGUGGUGAAAUCUCAUAGCUUAACUAUGAAACUGCCAUUGAUACUGCAGGUCUUGAGUAAAUUUGAAGUGGCUGGAAUAAGUAGUGUAGCGGUGAAAUGCAUAGAUAUUACUUAGAACACCAAUUGCGAAGGCAGGUCACUAAGAUUUAACUGACGCUGAUGGACGAAAGCGUGGGGAGCGAACAGGAUUAGAAACCCGGGUAGUCC